rnacentral:rRNA from 1 species
AUACGUAGGGGGCGAGCGUUGUCCGGAAUGAUUGGGCGUAAAGGGCGCGUAGGCGGCCUGUUAAGUCUGGAGUGAAAGUCCUGUUUUCAAGAUGGGAAUUGCUUUGGAUACUGAUGGGCUUGAGUGCAGGAGAGGUUAUCGGAAUUCCCGGUGUAGCGGUGAAAUGCGUAGAGAUCGGGAGGAACACCAGUGGCGAAGGCGGGUAACUGGACUGCAAAUGACGCUGAGGCGCGAAAGUGUGGGGAGCAAACAGGAUUAGAUACCCUGGUAGUCCACACUGUAAACGAUGAAUGCUAGGUGUAAGAGGUAUCGACCCCUUGUGUGCCGGAGUUAACACAAUAAGUAUUCCGCCUGGGGAGUACGGCUGCAAGGUUGAAACUCAAAUGAAUUGACGGGG